UACAUAGGGUGCGAGCGUUAAUCGGAAUUACUGGGCGUAAAGCGUGCGUAGACGGCUAUCUAAGUCGGGUGUGAAAGCCCCGGGCUCAACCUGGGAACGGCACUCGAUACUGCGGAGCUCGAGUACGAGAGAGGGGGGUGGAAUUCCAGGUGUAGCGGUGAAAUGCGUAGAGAUCUGGAGGAACACCGGUGGCGAAGGCGGCCCCCUGGUUCGAUACUGACGCUGAGGUGCGAAAGCGUGGGGAGCAAACAGG
rnacentral:rRNA from 1 species